rnacentral:rRNA from 1 species
GACGAACGCUGGCGGCGUGCUUAACACAUGCAAGUCGAGCGGAGCGGCGAACGGGUGAGUAACGCGUGAGUAACUGCCCCCCUCCCUGGGAUAACAGUUGGAAACGGCUGCUAAUACCGGAUAGUGGGGGAUGACUCGCGUCCUAUCAGCUUGUUGGUGGGGUAGUGGCCUACCAAGGCGACGACGGGUGGCCGGCCUGAGAGGGCGACCGGCCAAAUUGGGCUGGGAUCCAGCCCGAAGGCCGACGGGAGGCAGGAGUGGGGAAUAUUGCACAAUGGGUGAAACCAUGAUGCAGUAACGCGCGGGCGGGAUGCCGGCCUUCGGGUUGUAAACCGCUUUCAGCCAUGACGCGGUAGUGGCAGAGGAAGCACCGGCUAACUACGUGCCAGCAGCCGCGGUAAUAC